GAUGGGAGCUUGCUCCCUGAUGUUAGCGGCGGACGGGUGAGUAACACGUGGGUAACCUGCCUGUAAGACUGGGAUAACUCCGGGAAACCGGGGCUAAUACCGGAUGGUUGUUUGAACCGCAUGGUUCAAACAUAAAAGGUGGCUUCGGCUACCACUUACAGAUGGACCCGCGGCGCAUUAGCUAGUUGGUGAGGUAACGGCUCACCAAGGCAACGAUGCGUAGCCGACCUGAGAGGGUGAUCGGCCACACUGGGACUGAGACACGGCCCAGACUCCUACGGGAGGCAGCAGUAGGGAAUCUUCCGCAAUGGACGAAAGUCUGACGGAGCAACGCCGCGUGAGUGAUGAAGGUUUUCGGAUCGUAAAGCUCUGUUGUUAGGGAAGAACAAGUACCGUUCGAAUAGGGCGGUACCUUGACGGUACCUAACCAGAAAGCCACGGCUAACUACGUGCCAGCAGCCGCGGUAAUACGUAGGUGGCAAGCGUUGUCCGGAAUUAUUGGGCGUAAAGGGCUCGCAGGCGGUUUCUUAAGUCUGAUGUGAAAGCCCCCGGCUCAACCGGGGAGGGUCAUUGGAAACUGGGGAACUUGAGUGCAGAAGAGGAGAGUGGAAUUCCACGUGUAGCGGUGAAAUGCGUAGAGAUGUGGAGGAACACCAGUGGCGAAGGCGACUCUCUGGUCUGUAACUGACGCUGAGGAGCGAAAGCGUGGGGAGCGAACAGGAUUAGAUACCCUGGUAGUCCACGCCGUAAACGAUGAGUGCUAAGUGUUAGGGG
rnacentral:rRNA from 1 species